CCGCCGGGCUGCCGCGGCUCCACCGCCCCCCGGGGGCGCCCGCGAUGUUCCCUGGCCGCCUUGCGCUCGGCCUGCUUUUGUGCUAAGGGGCUGUAAAAUCAAGCCGGUUGCGUCCUCUGCGUUAGGCGGUGGGGAGGGGAGCCGGCCCUCUGCAGGCCGCGGCAGCCUGGCGGGCGGGGAGGUGCUUCGCAGCGGGCCUGGCGUGCUCCCUCGGUAAACUCCCCUGAGGAAAAGGACGCUGAAGGUGUCGGAAAAGCAAACAGGUUCUGUGUUUUAAAGGACUAGGUACCGUAUCUCAUCAGGAUCUGAGAGAAACACGCUUGGGAAGCCCAUCUCUUAUUCAUGACUAUUCUGGUCUUCAUUCCCGCAUUUAUCGCGGUCUCUGAGGAGACGCAGGAAGAGGCAGCAGGGUGAGAGCAGCAGGUGUGGGGAAACACCUGUGCAGCCGCGCUGCGAGGGCAUGUGAGCCAGCGCUUUGCAAGUCCAGGUUCUAAUGACUCAGCUUAGACGUUUUGGGAAGAUGAGUUCCCGGCUGUGCUGUUGUAACCUGUGAUGAUACUGGUAUCUGCUGGAAAGAAUACAGCAACUUGGACUCCAACAAAGAAGUUAAUUCUUAACUUUUCCUCAGUUUUAAUCACUGUCAGCUUCUCUGUUCCCCCUCAGGGAUACGAAUAAACAAAUUCCUGCAAAAUCAGAAAAGGCAAAAGAACAGAAAUUACAGGAACCAUCCUACCUAUAGUCCCAUGCUAUUUUACUACUAUGACUGACAUUUUGUACUCCUCUGUGAAAGAAAUGCCUUGUGUCUCUCUAAAUACUAACAGGGUUACAACACUUUAGGGAUCUUGUGCUAUUUCUCAUGACACUGAUGGACAUAUUUUUAAAUGUAAACAAAAUGCAUUCCUUUGGAGCAAAGACAGAAUCUCCUUAUGGCUAUGAAGAAAACACAGAAACAUGUCUUAGAAGUGUCAAAAGGAAGGAGUAACAUUUUUGGAGACAUCUUAGUCACUUAGGGUCUAAGUAGUGACUUCCUCAUACCUGCUGCCAAUGGCAAGCUUCAGUGCUGGGGCUUUACCAGAUACAUGUUCUGGCAGGAUGUAUUUUUGAGCCUGACACAGAAAUCUUGUUUGUUUGUGCUGCCAGUGGAAAGAGACGGGCACCCUGCAAGCGUUGCACAGUGUCUACAUUAGAGGACUGUCUAUUCAAUACCAUACUAGCAGUGCAACUCAGUACUCCCAUGUGCCAAAUUUGUAAUUGUGUCGUCAAGCUGCUUAAACAACAGAAGUCAGAAGAUUUUGUCUUGCACAGGUACCUGACACAGGGCUGCCAACAUACGGGAAAGCCCCAAACUGAUGGCUGAGAUCUAUUAUCAAAGCAGGAGGAGGUACUGGCAACAGUUUGAUGUUGUUACUCAUUGCAGAACACACCCCAGACACAGACCUAUGGGGUGCAGGUGCUCGGUCCUCUUUAUCCACAGGGGUCAGGUACAACUUGUUGCCUACCAGGAGACCAUCCUCCACUACUGGGCUGUUCUAUAUGCCUGGCUGUAGUACCCAAAAAGAACUGAGAAGUUUGUGCUGAGAAGUUUGUCUCAAACAGUGAGGCAACUGCAGAGAUCGAGACAACCCAGCCAGUCCACUUGAGGAUAUGGCAACACUCUAAGGAUAAACUGAAAUGCAGGUGGGUGGAGGCCUGCCUGACUGUUGGUCACUGUGCAGAGGUAGGGGAGGGUGUACCCCCGACUCAUGAAGCCCCUUCCUCAAAAGGCAAAUGUUCUGGAAACCAAAUCUACAUAUGCAAGCUAAUUUGCACAAAAAGCAGAGAAGGCAUGUUGGGGCGUGUGGGGGGGGAAAGACCAUAUAUAAAGGGGAACUCUCCAAAGGUUCUGGGGACUCUGCACCAGACACCCUGCUGGCCAGACCAAUGCUGGAUCCAGGAUUGGUGAAUUCCCUCUGCUUUGUGUGCGCUCUCUCUGUCCCCUUCUUUUACUUGAUUUCCCUCACACACCCCCUCCUCCCUACAAGGCUUGCCAAAUGUUAUUAUUGCCACUUCAUUGUGUGAGCCCAGAAUAAAGACCUUGUGUUUGUGGA